UGCGUAGGGCGCAAGCGUUAUCCGGAAUUAUUGGGCGUAAAGAGCUCGUAGGCGGUUUGUCGCGUCUGCCGUGAAAGUCCGGGGCUCAACUCCGGAUCUGCGGUGGGUACGGGCAGACUAGAGUGAUGUAGGGGGAGGCUGGAAUUCCUGGUGUAGCGGUGAAAUGCGCAGAUAUCGGGAGGAACACCGAUGGCGAAGGCAGGUCUCUGGGCAUUAACUGACGCUGAGGAGCGAAAGCAUGGGGAGCGAACAGG
rnacentral:rRNA from 1 species